rnacentral:rRNA from 1 species
UCCAGACUCCUACGGGAGGCAGCAGUGAGGAAUAUUGGUCAAUGGGCGCGAGCCUGAACCAGCCAAGUCGCGUGAGGGAGGACGGCCCUACGGGUUGUAAACCUCUUUUGCCGGGGAGCAACGGGCGUCACGUGUGGCGCCACUGAGAGUACCCGGAGAAAAAGCAUCGGCUAACUCCGUGCCAGCAGCCGCGGUAAUACGGAGGAUGCGAGCGUUAUCCGGAUUUAUUGGGUUUAAAGGGUGCGUAGGCGGCGCGUAAAGUCGGGGGUCAAAUGGGGGGGCUCACCCCCUCCCCGCCAUUGAAACUGGCGCUCUUGAGUGGAAGAGAAGUAUGCGGAAUGCGUGGUGUAGCGGUGAAAUGCAUAGAUAUCACGCAGAACUCCGAUUGCGAAGGCAGCAUACCGGCGCCCGACUGACGCUGAGGCACGAAAGCGUGGGUAUCGAACAGGAUUAGAUACCCUUGUAC